rnacentral:rRNA from 1 species
CGCCUUUUGAAUUAUAAACAUAAAAGGUCCCGCCUGCCCAGUGACACUGUUCAACGGCCGCGGUAUUAUGACCGUGCAAAGGUAGCGUAAUCACUUGUCUUUUAAAUAAGGACCAGUAUGAAUGGCAAAACGAGGGCCUAACUGUCUCUCUAGAUUAGUCAGUGAAAUUGAUUUUCCCGUGCAGAAGCAGGAAUAAUAAUAUAAGACGAGAAGACCCUGCGGAGCUUUAAACUUAAGCUAACACUUUAAAGUAUAGCAACUAGUUUUUGUUGGGGCGACCAUGAGGCAAAAACCCCCUCAAGACACAAUUAGAAGGACACUUCAAAAACAUAAUAUAUAUGUAUUUGACCCAAUAUUUGAUCAACGAAAUAAGUUACCCCAGGGAUAACAGCGCAAUCCACUCACAGAGCCCCUAUCGACGAGCGGGUUUACGACCUCGAUGUUGGAUCAGGACUACCAAAUGGUGCAGCAACUAUUAAAGGUUCGUUUGUUCAACGAUUAAAGUCCU